rnacentral:lncRNA from 1 species
GGGAUCGAACCCACAACCUCAUGGUCUCUAGUCAGAUUUAUUAACCACUGAGCCACGAUGGGAACUCUCUGUUUUUGCUUUUAAGGGCCACACUUGCAGCACAUGGAAGUUCUCAGGCGAGGGGUUGAAUUGAGGCUGCAGCUGCCGGCCAACACCACAGCCACAGCCACACCAGAUCCAAGCCACAUCUUCGACCUACACCACAGCUUGAGGCAAUGCUGGAUCCUUAACCCACUGAGCAAGGCCAGGGAUCGAACUCUCAUCCUCAUGGAUACUAGUUGGGUUUGUACUGAGCCACAACAGGAACUCCUAUUUUUAUUUUUUGGCUGCUCAAAUUCCUGGGCCAGGGUCAAACCUGCACUACAGCUGUCACCCGAACCACAGCAGUAUGAUGCUGGAUCUUUAACCUGCUGAGCCACCAGGGAACUCCCUGAAACAGUGGUUUUGUUGUUAUUGUUGUUUGCUUUUUAGGGCUGCAUCUGUGAUAUAUGGAGGUUCCCAGGCUAGGGGCUGAAUCAGAGCUACAGCUGCUGGCCUAUACCACAGCCACAGCAACGCAGGAGCCGAACUGUGUCUGCAACCUACACCACAGCUCACAGCAACGCUGGAUCCCUGACCCACUGAACAAGGCCAGGAACCAAACUGCAUCCUCAUGGAUACUAGUUGGAUUCCCGUGGUGCCAUGACAGGAACUCCUGAAACUAUUUUAAUUCUCCACCUAAAGGUCCAGGUGCCGGCAAUAACAGCAAAAAGGGAUCGGAGCCUUGGAAGUAGAUGGAAACUUCAGGGGAAGAAAAUAGAAGCACAAAGAGUAAGCAAAGGGCAGAGAAGUAUUUCAGAAAUUGAGGUCAAAAUGCUUCUCAGGGCAGGGGGUGAAGAAGGGAGCCAGAAAACAGCAGUGAGAGCUCCACUUGUGGUGAGAUGAUGUAGAACCAUCUCAUGCUUUUUGAUUGUCAUGAGACAAGACACAGAAAAUGCUCCGUAUUGUCAUUUGCUCUGUGACAGCCUUACCCUCCUCACAGCACCCCUGCAAGGUGCUCCCGUUAUCCAUUGUGCACGUGGAAGCUGAGGUUCCGAAAGUAGAAGUGCCGUUCAGGUCACACGGUUAGCAGGGAGGACCUGGAAUCCAGGUAUUGACGCCAUGGCUGUGCUCCUUCCACGCGCCCUCGGCUGCUUCCCGCAUUCGUCAUUAUCAAGGAACUGAAGACCCUGAGCUGUAGAGCCAGCAGAUCUGAUCUUGGAUCUUGGCUGCGUCCCAGGUUUGUUGCGUGAGCUUAGGGAGGAUUUGACCUUCUCAGCCUUCUUUCCCCCUAAUUACAAAAAGGGGGUGAGCUUCCCGCCUCUGCCAAGUUUUAAAAGCCAUUUACUUCACACUUAAGAUGCAGAUGAUGACAAUAAUGAUGCAGACCUUAACAGUUCACAUUUAUUGAGUAAUCACUUUGUGCCCACACUGUUCUAAGCCCCUCCCGUGUAUUAACAUAUUUAAUCCUUGUGGCAGUGCCCAGUGAGGUUAAGUAAAUUGCCCAAGCCCCCUAGGUAGUAAGUGGGAAAGUUAUGUUUGGUAAGAGAGGCACAAAUAACCCCCUGGGGCCUGAGUGGUGGAGUUUUGCAAAGGUUGGGGAAGAGCUAGCCUCAGGCCACCACUCGGCCCUGCACAGACUUUGCUCAACAGGUGGGAGUGCAACAGGUAAUGUUGACAGUGACCAGUUUCUUCUUCUAGGUCCCCCCUGCCCUGGUCAUCAUCUCCAGAGGCUUCUGUAUCUUCAGCCUUGAUUUCCUCUUCGCUGUUUUUCCUCUUUGCUGCAGCCCUUAUGAUUCAGUUCACCUCUCUGGCGAGGCUUUCCUCAGUCCAGUCUUGAUUCCAACAUCUUCACCAAUCCCCACCCACGCCAGUCAACAGACUCCCAGCCACCUGUCUUUGAUUCCUCUGGUUUCCCUCUCUCCAAGCACCCCAUCCCUUCCCUGAGCCCCCUUCUUGGGCAGCAGCUUGUAGUGGCUCCAGCUCCCUGAAGAGUUACCUCCAGGAGCACUUGGUCCAGUGGGGUGUGGGAGAGGCUGUAGGACAGCUGCGUGUCAGGAAGGAGGGAGGUGGGCUGUGAUGGACCUUGGAGAGCACUUUGUCUCCGAGCAACUAUUAUAAACAGAGAGCUGAUGAGUUCUGGGCCUGCAUACGAAGAAAACAGUGCAAAGAACGGGCAUCUGGAGCUCCUGGCCACACACAGUGUGACCAGACCUGAUGAAGCGUCCCUACGUCACCUCAGGCCACGUGGCUUCAAGUUUGAAUUUCAGGCGCAAACCGUCAAUUCAAGAUGUUGGAAAGUAAAGUGAGCCCCCACUCUUGCUGCCGUGCAAUUCUCUCCACCCCCACCCACCCCCGCCCGUUCUCUGACAUUUGUUUAAUAAGCUACAGGUGAUAGUAGUUAAGUCACUGGAUGAUGAAAUUGAUUUUUUUUUUUUUUUUAAGUCACUUUGGUUACACAGGGAAAACCUGGAAGAGGGGAGAUACAGAAGAACCCAUACCCGCAUGGCCUGAAGACAGGCUAAAAGACUGAUGGGAGCUUGCGACCCUACAGAGUUGGAACCGCUCUGCGCUCACAGGCCUGGGAGCUUAGUGCCCAGUGGCCAGGGACCCCCCCUAGGAUUCCUUUGUGGAUCAAAGGCAAAGAAAGAAGGGCUUCUGAAGGCCUGGCACAGCUACAAGGUAAGAAAAAAUGCAAAGCCAAACCAGCCGAGCUCACUUGCCCUCACAUCUCUUGCUCUGCUCUGAAUCGCACUAGAGGCUUCGUGCCAGAGGCUUCUGUCCGGGUUCGACCAAUGGGAGGCGGUGGUGGGAGCCAGCAUUUUCCUUUCCUUCUUAGCCUGUAGUGGCAUUUCUGGCAGUGACGCCUUUUGGAUCUCUAGUACCUGCCAGAUGGGCCUGCCACUAUUCCCCUGGACCAGGGAAUACUGCCUCUCCCUCCGCAUCCCUCUAGCCUUGGCGGUGAGAGUUGCUUUCAGCUGCUCAGGGCUGCCUCAUCCCCUGGCAGAUUUACCAGCUCACUCAUGUGACCAGUUCCCUGCAUUAAAUUCCCUUGUUGUGAAUCU